GUGAACAGCCAUGGAAUGAUUAUAUUGGGUAUAUGUUGCCAGAGUCUAUUCACCUGGAAUAGCCAGACAAUUAGUCUUUCUUUCCUAAAUAUGGCCCAAAAUUCUCUAGUUAUCUCACCUUGGAGGGUUAAAUAUUAACCUGGGUACUCAUGCAGCAAUGAUUACCAAAAUAACAUUCUUUAAAGCAGACAUUAAUCAUGUAUGACAAGAGCAAAGUCUUUGUUAAAUGGCUUGAGAAAACUGCUCACCUGCAAGCUUACAAAGAGUGUGGGGAGGAAAUCAUUCAGAAAACAACGUGCAAUGGUUAGUUGUGCAGAUUGGCGCUAAACGAUACAUUUAUAUUUGUUAAAAUAAGGGUAAAACAAAGGCACUGCAUUUUAUUUAGUAUCACUCUUGUCAUAGGAUUCAGGCUGUCUGUAUAGCAGAAAAUUAUGGUCCUUAUCAAAAUGACUAAUUAUUGUUUUACAGCCCAUGAAGAUAAGGAACAUUAAAAGCAUACAAUAAUAAUGUACUUCUAUUUAUUUAUUUUUACCCCAAAAACAGUCUUAUAUAAACAAACUUAAAACUUAAUGUCACAGUUAGAGUUUCUAGUCUGGCAUCAAUACAUUGGUUGAGAAAAUGCCAAUUUGCCUCCACAAAUGCUGUGUCUGUGAGAGCUGCUGGAACACAAGAAGGAUAGCAGCCAGUUGGGGGUAGAUUGAUGUCAGGGAAGAAAAUGCCAAUUGUGAAAUCAGCAACAUGCUGUGAUAUAAGAUAACAAAGCAGCACUGACUUCUGAACUGAGCAAUCCUCUUCAAAACCUGGAACAAUUUUGAAAAGUAACCCUUUUAUCACAUUGGACUGGAAAAUCUGGUUCCUGCACCACUGCUAAGGGAGGAGAGUUGGAGCACUGUGUUACACACCUAGGAGACCACUGUGUAAUUGUCUUGAAAGCUGAAUUUCUCCAAGCUGCACCUGGAGCUGCAGCAGCAGCCACAGCACCACCACUGGCAGCACCUGCAGCAGCCACAGCACCACUGGCAGCAGCACCUGCAGGAGCACCCUCAUCACCACCGGCAGCACUACUUACAGCACCUGCUGCACCAUCACCAGGAGCACCACCAGUGGCAUCAGUACUGCUAGGCCAGGACAUGGCAGACCUUGUGUUCCUGGUUUUUCAGCAGGUGCACGCCUUGCGAAUAGAAAUACAGGAACUUCAUUUUUGCUCACUUUCAGAGGAGACCCCCUGCUUCUUCUCCUCCUCCUCCUCCAUCAUCAACAUCUCAGUCUAUUUAAAUUUUUUAAUUAGUUUUAACUAAUAUUCAUGUAAUAUGCACUGUUGUGCUUGCUUGUAAUAACAGUUAAGUUUGUUGCUAA